rnacentral:rRNA from 1 species
UACGUAGGGUGCAAGCGUUGUCCGGAAUUAUUGGGCGUAAAGAGCUCGUAGGCGGUUCGUCACGUCGGCUGUGAAAUCCCGAGGCUCAACCUCGGGUCUGCAGUCGAUACGGGCGGACUGGAGUACUGCAGGGGAGACUGGAAUUCCUGGUGUAGCGGUGAAAUGCGCAGAUAUCAGGAGGAACACCGGUGGCGAAGGCGGGUCUCUGGGCCGAUACUGACGCUGAGGAGCGAAAGCGUGGGGAGCAAACAGG